CGUUGGAGUUGAUAACCUUUUGUCUUCAAGCAGUCUGUCUUGAUGCAGUUUGGUUGUAUCCAAAACUAAGAAAGAGUUUCAGAUACUUUGACUACUGCAGAGUGGACUUUCCUUAUUCAGCUAACAAACCUGAAGACCCACGUUCUCAAGAUAGGACAGACAAAACAGAGGUAGCUGAACUGAUCAGGCUUGAAAGGUCCUUUUCUUCAUUGGUAGAAGAGUUGACUAACAAAGGGAAUCUUCACAGCUUUCAACGAGAUCUUCAGAGUUUGAUGAAGCUUGUAGACAGACAUGAAGUUCUGAGGUCUUCAUCCUCUGAACGUUGUAACCUCUGAAGUCCAACAUCUUCUGAGCGCUUGUGAACUUCUGAAUUCACAUCCUCUG
rnacentral:lncRNA from 1 species